CUCUGGGUCCGCUUGAGGCUCAGGGCGGAAAGAG
ncrna:unclassified sequences L31-Firmicutes ribosomal protein leader